ACACAGGUUGAGAACCACUGUUUUACAUUAUCAAUAAGCUUCUGUCCCCACUUACUUCCACAUUUAUUUGAGCCAGAGCAUACAUACGAAGCUCAGACUCAACACUCAGCUGUUGAGGAGCCAUGGAGUCACCAUGAAGUCCCUAGUGACAUUUCACCGGCAAUACGUGACAGUUGUGUCUUCCUGGUAUUCAUUUAAACAAAGGACUUCAGUACCCAUCAUCUUCAGCCAUCAUGAACCAGUUACACAAAGGGACAAGCAGACUCUGAAUUGGGCCAACCUUUUUUGUGUGGCUGGCUACCUGGACAAAAAGGACUCAUUAUAAUAUGGUACCUACCCUGAAGUUGGGAGGUUCUACCUCUGUUUUCCCUUUCCUGCCAUUUCUCCUUUCCCAGGGACGGAUCACCUAUUCUCACCAUUUUGGGCAAUAUACAGACUCGAGCAAAAAUGGACACAGGCACUUUAUGGGUCACUCACUAGUCACUUUGAAAGACAACUCCCAGUGACCCGAUGGCCCCACUUGUUAGUCUCCAGAUUAAGACACUAUAGCCCACUCAAAAGUUCAUGUUUUCCUUUGUUCCCCAUGACCAUCUCGCCCUGGCUGGACAUUGGAGGACCACAAAUCUACAUUGACAGCAGGGAACGCCUUCUGAUUGACUGCCAGGUGCCACAAUCAUGCACCAGAGGGGGAAUCCUCCCAGCUGGCUGUGACGUCAACACUGGCUCUGCCAAUCAGUGAGAAGCUGGCCUCUCCAGAAAAACAAAGGAUUUUAUUGUAUAAAAAUGUAUGUUUUACUUUUGCAAAAACAUGUCACCUUAUCUGAGUGACUUACCGCUGUCUGUGAUCGUAUAAAGUACCUCAGGGCUUCUGCUUCAACUGCUGAGAUUUCUUCAAUUAGGAACUUUGGGCACUAGCUUUUCAUCUCACCAGGCACAGACUCUGCAUGCUCAGUACUGGGUUUCAUUAGCUGUUAGCUGGGUCUUGGUAUCCACGUACCGGGUUUCGCUAUCCAUGGUUUGAAUCUCACUAUCCAUGAACUGCUCUAAAUUGCUCAAUAUCAAAGCCAUUCGAGAUCAUUGCCACAACAUUACUUUUUUCCUUUAAACAGAAUUCCUUCCUAAUUCUUCCUGCUCUUUUAUGAUGAUGUAUUAGCUUUUUCAUUCUCACUCACACAUGAACUGACUUGCAUGCUAUAAUAACUUUAAGCAAGUAGUCAUUCUGCCCAAUUGUUUAACAUUCAAGAAGAACAUAAUGAUGACAGUUUGCAGAUGGCAGUUUGCAGAGUGUUGUCUAGAGAAAUCUAAUGUAGCAGUUUUCAAAGAGAUCACAUGUUUCAUUAUAAAAGGGGGGUUAACAGCAACUUUAAGACUAACAUUUAUUUUAGAAUGAGCUUUAAUUGAUUUCAAUCAAAGUGGAAAAUGAAAUCACUUUUGAUUGAAACUUUCAUACUAAAAUAGUCCAAAAAAGUGCUAGCAGAUUCCUUUCCAGUCUCGCACCCACCUUUGACUUUCUUUUCUACUGCAUUUUCUAUAAUCUAUCACCAUCAGCAGAUAUAUGCACUUGAAACAAACCAUCUGAAGCUACCUCUCAGAACCGCAGGUGGUAGAUAUAAUGUUUGAAUUUCCUGUAUAUACAAAAAGAAAUAGAAGAAUCGGCUACAAGUAGACUAGACAUGUCAAUUUUGAUUACGCUAGAAAUUCAGUAUGUGAGGCUUACCUUAGAAUGUUUUUCCCUCACUAAUGAUAUGAAGCAUAUAUAUAACUGACAGCUAAGUUAGACUUACUGAUUUAAUGCUAACGCUAGGUAACAUUUAUUCAAGUUGUAUUCAUUUAAAUCGUAGUUGGGACUAAAUGCAGUCCAGCAUCACUAAUAUUCUGUAUACUGGAAAAACAUUAAUAUUUCUAUUUCAAAAUGCUAAUAAAUUACUAUGAGACUUAUCUCUUGCAAAUUUUCCUGGACUUUCCUCUAUUAUUCAAAAACAUUGCAAUAUCUGGUUGCUGUGAUACAAUCAUAUGAGACCAUCCUAGACAUAUAAAAUUCCUGAAAUGUUUGAAGCUGCAUGGAGGAAUGGGUGAGGGAUGGAUAUUUUCUUCUGGGUGGGAUGAUUUUUUUCCAAAAAUAUUAAUACUAAUAUUCUCAUUUAGAAAUUGAAAGUCAUUUUAUUACUUUAGGAAAAUAAAAUACAUAAUAUUAUAAAUUUGGCAAAAAAUAUCACACUUUACCAUGUUUGAUGUAAAAAGUAUAAUUUAUAGGCCAUGUAAUUACAAAUUGAAGCGGAAACCAGAAGCAGAAGUUGCAAUUUCAUACUGAACAUAAAAUGUAUUUAUUUAUUUAUUUCCUGCUUUUUUCCCAAAGGGAGGUGUGAAUCAGCUUUUUCUUCCACAUAUGUGG